AUGUCUUCCUCCCCCUCCAUGCGAAUCUCUCCACCGCAAGAAGGCGAGGCCAAAACCAACGAAGAGCUCUACCAGCAGUUCACCAACUUGGUGUCCUCCUGGCCGUGCUCCCCUGCCCUCUCCAAUUACCAGCUUUACCGCCACGACAAUGGCUGGCACAGCAGCCUGGCUCCAAUGGUCGGCACGAUGGUCGCCGACGCAUGCUUCGCCGCGCGCCCCUCGGACAUCAUCGUGGCCACACUGCCCAAGUCCGGUACGACCUGGAUCAAGGCGCUCCUCUACUCCACGGUGCACCGGAGGGAGCACCCCGCGGACUCCUGCGGCCACCCGUUUAACAUCCAUGGUCCUCACGAGUGCAUCAAGUUUCUCGACUACCAGCUCUACACGCAGAACAGGAUCCCGGACCUCGACGAGCUCCCGGACCCAAGGCUCUUCGCCACGCACGUCCCCUUCGUGUCGCUGCCGAGGUCGGUCGUGGCGUCGGGCUGCAAGAUCGUGUACGUGUGCCGCGACCCCAAGGACACCCUCAUCUCGCAUUGGAACUUCGCGAACAAAUUCAGGGUCAGGGACGGUCUGGAGCCGCUCUCGGUUGAGACCGCCGCCGACUACUUCUGCGACGGCGUGUCGCCGUUCGGGCCGUACUGGGAUCAUGUCCUAGGGUACUGGCGCGCGCACUCCGCGAACCCCGAGCAGGUGCUCUUCUUCAGGUACGAAGAGAUGAGUCGAGACCCGGCGGAACACGUGCGGAGGCUGGCCAAGUUUGUUGGAUGCCCGUUCAGUGUGGAGGAGGAGGAAGUCUGCGCGGUGGACGCCAUCGUCAAGCUGUGCUCGUUCGAGCACAUGACCGGGCUCGAGGCGACCAAGGGCGGCAAGACAGAGCUCACGUUUGGCGUUGUGGAGAACAGCUCGUUCUUCCGGCGCGGCCAGGUCGGGGACUGGGAGAAUCAUCUAUCGCCGGAGACGGCACGAAAGAUCGAUGCCAUCAGCGAGGCCAAGUUUAGGGGCUCCGGUCUCUCUGUCUAG
rnacentral:rRNA from 1 species